AGCUUACUGUCUGCCCCCUUUGGCCUAAUAACUGAAUUGAAAGGAAUUGUUGAAUCACUGCCCAAUGGACAUGGAGAGCCACCAUCAUCUCAUUCACCGGCUCUGAGUGUCCCCCUGGCUGGGUGCCCAUUUGCAAGUGGGAGCACCGAGAGGUGGUGAUCCGGUCUUUUGUCUUGCCUGGAGCCCUCAGAAAGACUCCGAUUUGAGAAGGCUUUUAUACUGGGAUUCCAGGGUUCCCAGAAUGGAGCUCUUUAGCAUCCGCUGCUGUCAUCAUGACUCAGCUUGCCAAUCUGGGUACGAAGAAGCCAGAACAAACAGGUCACAACAAGGAGCCAUUGGGAGAAUCAUUAACUAUCAUAUGGAGCAUCUGGCAACAUGCCGGGGACAUAAUAGUUGAGAGAUUUGAAACAACACCCUGGAUGAGGGGGAGACACAGUGAAAGCAGGAGAUUCAGCAGCUGAUGGCUGGCAAAGAGGUCGAGAGGGACACGCAGCUCUAUUUGUUACAGAAAUCCAACGUAU